CAACACUAUUCCAGCUGUUCCAGCCAUGAUUUGUGUGUCAGGAAACAAAUUACUUGCCCCUGGACAUUCGGCUUGCUUUCUAGUUUGCCAAGACAUAAUGCUGUUGUGAUGUUGGCUACAGUAGCAGGAGAGUUCUGAGUAGGCUUUCACUGGUUGGAGAUGGUGUACCAGCUGUGGACAGUCGUGUCCUCUCUGCAUGUUGGUUUUGCAGCAGCAACUGUAGCCACGGCUUGCUAACCCCCAAGGCCAGUCUCUUCCAGAGCACCUGCCCUUUGCAAAGUACAACAACAAACGGACCCAAUUGUGUAAAGAAUCUCCUCCCCAGAGUGUCUGCUAAGCUGGAUGUGGCUACUAUUUCAGACAUCACAGAGGACAAGCUGCCGUUUGAACUGGCUGGUGAACUGAAAGCUGCAGGUGAAGGGGAACAGAUGUUGACAGGAGCCCACUCUCUCCAAACAAGGCCCAAUGCAC